UACGUAGGGUGCAAGCGUUAUCCGGAAUUAUUGGGCGUAAAGAGUUGCGUAGGCGGACUAGCAAGUUUUUGGUGAAAUCCUUCGGCUUAACCGGAGAACUGCCAAGAAAACUGCUAGACUUAGAGGGAAUCAGGGGGUGCUGGAACUUGUGGUGUAGUAGUAAAAUGCGUUGAUAUCACAAGGAACACCAAAGGCGAAGGCAGGCACCUGGGAUUCACCUGACGCUAAGGCACGAAAGCGUGGGGAUCGAAACGGAUUAGAUACCCCGGUAGUCCCUGAGCGGGCUGG
rnacentral:rRNA from 1 species